UGAAAUUAUUGAUUUUUUAUCUAAGCAAAAUACUAAAUAAAAAUUAAAUUUUCUCAUAAAUGUACAAGUAAGACCAAAAAACUAAGCCAAUGGGUGUUUCAAGAAAAAAUGAAUCAAAAACUCUGCGAAUAAGUUUAUAAUUAUGUUUAUGGAGCCAUUCUUGCAGAUUUUCAUUAAAGUAUGAAUUAAUUACAAAGAAUUUUGGUAAUUCCCCAGAAAGUUUUCUAUUAAAUCUGUAAUUCAAACAAUUGUCAAAAUUUGAAGUAUUUAACUUAGUAAUAUUUGAUGAAAUAUAUGGACUGGGGUAAGAUGUAUUCAACAAGGGAUUAAUAACAAAAAUCUCCUCCAAUAACUGUGUAGUAUUUGGAUGUGUCCAAAGUAUUUCAUUCAUAUUCUUAUGUUUGAUUGAUUGAUUAAUAUUAGGAGAACAAUCAAAGAAUCCAAAUUUCACGUCUUGGUUUAAGAAAGAGUAGGCUGGAUACAUAUGGCAUUGAGAAACAAAGAAAAUGGAUCCAUUCUUCUGCAAAUUCAAAUUGGACAAAUAUCUAAUCGCAGAUUCACCACCUCUUUGAAAUAUUGUUGUAAAGAAAAAAGCUGGAAUAAUUUGAGCUAGUAAUGUUACUAGAAGGUACUUAUUAUUGAGAUAUAUUCGAAAAAUGCUAAUACUACUAAAUAAUAACCCCAUACAGUUAUUAUUAUCCAUUUUGAAGAGCUUAUGUAUUUCUAAAAUGAGUUUAUAUAUUCCAAGGCUCGUGGUAAUUAACAAUAUGGGAAAAUAAGGGAUAAUAAAACGAUGUUCUUUAUGUGAUGUAGUAGAAAGCAAGAUCAUAGUAAUUAAAGUAGAAAUUUGUGAUAUUUUAAAUAUUUGAUUUUUUAAAUUAAAUGAUUCGAUGAUUCCAAGAAUCAUAAAUGGUAGAUAAGAAAGUAAAGUAACAAUUGGCAUUUCAGUAAAGUAAUAAAGUCUGGAAUUUGAACCAUAUAUUUGUCCUGGAUCUCCCAUCAAAUUAAAUUUAACAAAGUUAAUCAUUGGAAUUGUAAAUUUUUUGUAGAACAAAUAAUCCAAAUAAAACAUUACUGGUAUUGUGAUGAAAACAACAACUAUGCAAAUUUUUAACAAUUUCAUGAUUGUAAAAAUUGAAUAUUUA
rnacentral:antisense_RNA from 1 species